AUGGUAUCAUCUCGUUGGCCAGCGGAGGGAUCAUUACCGAGUUUACAACUCCCAAACAUACCUUGUUGCCUCGGCGGAUCAGCCCGCUCCCCGAACGGGACAUGCUCUAAUGUUUCUUAUUGUAACUUCGUAAAACAAACAAAUAAAUCAAAACUUUCAACAACGGAUCUCUUGGUUCUGGCAUCGAUGAAGAACGCAGCAAAAUGCGAUAAGUGUGAAUUGCAGAAUUCAGUGAAUCAUCGAAUCUUUGAACGCACAUUGCGCCCGCUGGUAUUCCGGCGGGCAUGCCUGUUCGAGCGUCAUUUCAACCCUCAAGCCGUGUUGGGGAUCGGCUCUGCCUCACGGCGGUGUGACCGCCCCCGAAAUACAUUGUCUCGCUGCAGCCUCCAUUGCGUAGUAGCUAACAUUCACCUCGCAACUGGAACGCGGCGGCCAUGCCGUAAAACCCCAACUUCUGAAUGUCCUCGGAUCAGGGAAUACCCGGCAUAUCAAGCGGAGGAA
rnacentral:sRNA from 1 species